rnacentral:tRNA from 2 species
UCCGCUAUAGCUCAGUUGGUAGUAGCGCAUGACUGUUAAUCAUGAUGUCGUAGGUUCGAGUCCUACUGGCGGAG